rfam:Trametes versicolor FP-101664 SS1 unplaced genomic scaffold TRAVEscaffold_12, whole genome shotgun sequence.
GCUUUUGGUGUAGUGGUCUACAUCACCUCAGGUUGCACUUCACGGAAUCCUGAGGGUGCAGGUUCAAUUCCUGCAAAGGGCA